UGGGGAAUAUUGCACAAUGGGCGCAAGCCUGAUGCAGCGACGCCGCGUGGGGGAUGACGGCCUUCGGGUUGUGAACUCCUUUCGCGAGGGACGAAGCUUUUGGUGACGGUACCUAGAUAAGAAGCACCGGCUAACUACGUGCCAGCAGCCGCGGUAAUACGUAGGGUGCGAGCGUUGUCCGGAAUUACUGGGCGUAAAGGGCUCGUAGGUGGUUUGUCGCGUCGUCUGUGAAAUUCCGGGGCUUAACUCCGGGCGUGCAGGCGAUACGGGCAUAACUUGAGUACUGUAGGGGUAACUGGAAUUCCUGGUGUAGCGGUGAAAUGCGCAGAUAUCAGGAGGAACACCGAUGGCGAAGGCAGGUUACUGGUCAGUUACUGACGCUGAGGAGCGAAAGCAUGGGUAGCGAACAGG
rnacentral:rRNA from 1 species